CAGAGAGGCGGAAUGGAGGACACGCAGGCUGUACUGAAGGAGGAGGGUCAGACCGAGACUGUCACAUACACGGCGUACAAGAGGCGCUGGGCAAUGAUGGUGACAGUCAUGCUGCUCAAUAUCUCCAACACAGGGAUGGGGUUUAACGUGGCCCCCGUGGCAUACAAAGCCGCUGACUACUUCGAGGUGACGCAGUACGACAUCACCUGGUUCUCGCAGGUGUACCUCAUCUUGCCAUUCACGUUCUCCUUCGUCUCCACUUACAUAUUCAACAAGUUCGACAUGAAAGCGGGAGUCCAUAUCGGCUCUGCCCUUAACUGUGUUGGAGCUUUGACGCGCGCCGUGGCAACCUCGGGUCUUAUAGCAGACCUCUGGACUCAGUACGUUGUCAGCCUCAUCGGACAGGCCGCUGGAUCGGCGGGGCAGCUCUUCAUCGCCUUCAUUGUCACGAGGGUCACACAGAAUUGGUUCCCUGACGGCGAACGCAUGGUAGCAACAGCCAUCAUGGCAUUCUUUCCCGCCCUGGGGAUCUCGGUGGCCCAGGUGAUGGCGCCGAUUGUGGUGACGGAGAAGCAGCAGAUUCCGACCCUCAACUACAUAUACGGCGGGCUGGCCCUUCUUGCCGAGAUUGCCACUCUGAUUUGUGUCACCAGGUCGAGGCCACCAACACCACCGAGUCGCAGCGCCGAACACGGGACAACGGCCAGAGAUCCUUACCUGCAGCAGCUCAAGCAGACUUUUACUUCUCCUUCCUUCCUUGGUCUCAUCAUAAUGUCCGGAGUAAUGACGGCUUUCUACCUCUGCCUCACUACACUCUCGCAGCAAAUGCUGUGUUCCAAGGGAUACAGUGAUUUCUUCGCCGGAGUGGUGGUGGCCAUCUUCAGCAUAGCAGGCUUCGUGGGUUCGAUUGCCAUAGCAGUGGUGGAAAAUCGCACUAAGGCUUUGACGGACAUAAUCAAGCUUGCCAAUGGUGUUGGAGUGAUUUUUGCUAUAAUGUUGAUGGAGGUUUACUUAGUGCCCGGCCAGCACGCCCUUCUGAUCAUCUUCAGUGUCUUGUUCGGGUUCUUCGGCGCUGGAGUGUACCCCAUUAGUCUGGAGAUAGGAGUGGAGAUCACUUACCCUGUGGAGGAGACCAUCAGCACUACAUUGAUCUUUGUGGUCAGAUUCUGGGUGUACUCAUGACCUACACGGCGAACGUUCUCUCCAGCGAUCUGCCGCCAGAGUUACAAGACAUAGAGGUGUGUACCAAGAACAUUACCUCCGACCUGCAGGCCAGAGACUACUCGGGUGUGGUCAUGGGGCUUAUGGGCGUCCUCACCUUCAUCGUCAUCCUCUUCACUGUCUUCUUCCGGACGCCCUACAAGCGGCGAGAGGUGGAGCAGACCACCGACAUGAGCGACACCGCCGAGCCCACCACCUCCACCUGUGGC
rnacentral:misc_RNA from 1 species